rnacentral:misc_RNA from 1 species
GAUGAAGAACGCAGCGAAAUGCGAUAAGUAAUGUGAAUUGCAGAAUUCAGUGAAUCAUCGAAUCUUUGAACGCACAUUGCGCCCGCCGGUAUUCCGGCGGGCAUGCCUGUCCGAGCGUCAUUUCACCACUCAAGCCCAGCUUGGUGUUGGGGCACCCGGCCGCCUGGCGGUCGGGGCCCCCAAGUACAUCGGCGGUCCCGCUGGGGGCUCCGAGCGCAGUAGCUCGCGGUGAAACGCGCCCCUCGCUCGGCGGCUCCUUCGGGCUUCCAGCCGCUAAACCCGUCCACCGACGCCCUUCGAGUUGACCUCGGAUCAGGUAGGAAUACCCGCUGAACUUAAGCAUAUCAAUAAGCGGAGGA